rnacentral:rRNA from 1 species
GAUGAACGCUGGCGGCGUGCCUAAUACAUGCAAGUCGAGCGAACGGACGAGAAGCUUGCUUCUCUGAUGUUAGCGGCGGACGGGUGAGUAACACGUGGAUAACCUACCUAUAAGACUGGGAUAACUUCGGGAAACCGGAGCUAAUAGCGGAUAAUAUUUUGAACCGCAUGGUUCAAAAGUGAAAGACGGUCUUGCUGUCACUUAUAGAUGGAUCCGCGCUGCAUUAGCUAGUUGGUAAGGUAACGGCUUACCAAGGCAACGAUGCAUAGCCGACCUGAGAGGGUGAUCGGCCACACUGGAACUGAGACACGUUCCAGACUCCUACGGGAGGCAGCAGUAGGGAAUCUUCCGCAAUGGGCGAAAGCCUGACGGAGCAACGCCGCGUGAGUGAUGAAGGUCUUCGGAUCGUAAAACUCUGUUAUUAGGGAAGAACAUAUGUGUAAGUAACUGUGCACAUCUUGACGGUACCUAAUCAGAAAGCCACGGCUAACUACGUG